AGAGGAAGCCCAGGAAGUUGUCAUCGGGCAAGCUUAGCUUAGCAUCAACGAUGCCACACCUCGCGGACCCGAUUUCAUGACAUUCUUCCGACUCGGGCUCGAGCGCCGAUUGACUUCGCUGGGACCCCGUCGAGCUCCUCCGAAAAUAUUUGGGUGGAACGUCGCAACGAUAUUGUCCGAAAAUUGACGUUCUCAACGCUGAGACGGAAGUGGCCGUCGUAUUGACACCCGAGCAGAAACGCUCGCGCCCUGGCGGGCACCUCCAAGGCGACCAAUCGACCGGCGUUCGUGCAGUUUUUUGGGUUAGCAUUAGCAAGCUAGCUUGCGCCGUAACGCCGGCCGAGCGAGGAUGCGUCAGAACCGACCGGACACGAGACCCGAACGGGUGUGCCAGGUGGGCUGUUUUUUCAGAUUCUUGGAAGAAGAAGAACAUUUUUGAAAGGGCCAAUUCCACUUUACGCCAGACCGGGGUCCCGGGAUUGUGUGCUUGCUAGACUCGUAAAACGGCGGAAAUAAUCGGCUCGCCAAAACUAUUGCGGCCUUCCGGACUUUCGCCGGGUGUUCUAUCCGAUCCAGUUCCAGCCGAGACGGUGGGUCAACGCCGGGAUGGGACCGUGCCAGGAGGAACCGCGUCGGGCAGUCCAAAUACGGGACUGCGGUACAGGUGCCAGUUACCACUGGCUGAGGCUGGAGCGCUUGGCACAUCCUUUAAGGUUGAAGACUUUUUGCGUUCAAACAAGAACUGGUUUCUCAUUGCGCCCGCCCCCCCCCCUACACACACACACACAAACAAAAAAAAACAAAACAAAACUCUUUGAAUUGGAGAGAAGGAGUGGAGAGGAUGAGCGCUUCCCUGAAGAAAAGAGUUGAAGUCGCCGAGGCCUGCACGCGAGCAGUUUUGGGUCGGCCUUCCGGUAGUGGAGGGCUUCCGAAUUGGCGGUGCAAGUCGCCUUGGCUCGCUAGCUGACAAAAUCCGUCUCCUCUGAAUUGUUUUCAUCGUUUCCGAUGAUUCCAAAAGACACUUUUGUGAAUUAUUUGGCCCUUCAAAUCGUUGAAAAUGCUUUUUGGCCGGAUCCCAGUUCGAAGUCCGGCGCUCCCGGUUGGAUUCCGAUUCCACGAAGGAGCUCGGUGGCUCGGUUGCCAAAAAAAAAAAAAACGAGGUCUCGUCUUACUUGCGGCUUAUUUUUUUUAUUUUUGUUUUUGCUUUUCGAUUGGCCUUUUGUCACGCCGUCGGCUCCCGGCUUUGGAUUCCGCUCCCAGUCGUUUUUCCUUUUUGACAGACGUCACUUUCGAGUCACGAUCCGCUUCACGUUUUGUACUUGCAUUUGCCGUUUUACAAUUUUGGACUUUUGGGUCACCUCCACCUUUCGCCACCGUGGCCGCGAACCCGACGGAGGCUGGCGAGGAAGCUAAACGGCAGCGUGACGAUUGUUUUUGCUCCAAGUCCUACCGGGUCCUCUCUCCGGGGUGGCAAAGUUCUGAGGCAAAAGCCGGAAUCCCAAGAGGCCCGAGGCGAGCGGUGUGGGUGGGACACGAGACACCCGAGCCUCGGUGACGCGCAGGUGCGCACAGACGCGCCUUUGUGCCGAGCCCGCAGGAAUGCGACGGGAACGACGCGUCCCGAUUGGCGACUUGGCAGAAAGCGGAGCGGCCGACCCCACGACGCUCGCCUUUCUGAUUUGCUCCUCGUUGGUGAUUUCAAGCGAUGGACGUUCAGAAGCCUUCUAAGGAAAAUGUUCUCUGUUCCCGAACCGCCAAAUUCCUUGUGCGCCGUUACCCGCUUGGCCAAUAAAGCCGCUUCUGAUUCGGAUUCUCAAGAUGAUUUUUAAAUUCACAAUCUUCCGUCAAAUGUGAAUUCAUUUUACUACUUCUACUUCAUUUUACUUUAUACUACUGCUACUAUCACCACUCGCAGCUAUUAUUAUGAUUAUUAUUAUGGAAAGGACUGCUAAGAAUUCUCAAGGUAUUUUUAUUAUUCGUGGCCUUGGCAGUGUUACAUAUGGGUCUGUGAUAUCAAUGAACAAUCACACCUAUAUUUGUAAAUGAAUGUACUGUUAAUGCUAAUGGGUUAGCUCAUUUUUUUUUUUUUUUUAAGUAUGGGAUGUCAAAGUUAACAUAAAAUAGCAGAAAUUGUGUCGCAAGGAAGGCGAGACGUGGAGGAGCCAAGUGCAAGGAUCGAAAAAAUGAACAAUUCAUUAAAAAAAAAAAAAAAAAGAAAAUCUUGGAAGAAUCUCAGACUGGAAAUCGAAAUGACCCAGACGUGCACAAAACGAAGCGAAGGGAAGCGAAGCAGGGGGCGGGGUCAAAAAAAAGGAUUGACCAGAAAAAACGAGCGCACCCCACAGGCAACAAAACAAAAUGGAGACGGUGACAAAUUGCAAAAUGAUUUUUGUUGCUUUCCUCAAAACAGGAAAUGCGAAAAUUUCAAUCUGGUCUUCA